AGCCUGAUGCAGCCAUGCCGCGUGUGUGAAGAAGGCCUUCGGGUUGUAAAGCACUUCAGCGAGGAGGAAAGGUUAGUGGUUAAUACCCGCUAGCUGUGACGUUACUCGCAGAAGAAGCACCGGCUAACUCCGUGCCAGCAGCCGCGGUAAUACGGAGGGUGCGAGCGUUAAUCGGAAUUACUGGGCGUAAAGCGCAUGCAGGCGGCCAAGUCAGUCAGAUGUGAAAGCCCCGGGCUUAACCUGGGAAUUGCAUUUGAUACUGCUUGGCUAGAGUCCUUGAGAGGGGGGUAGAAUUUCAGGUGUAGCGGUGAAAUGCGUAGAGAUCUGAAGGAAUACCAGUGGCGAAGGCGGCCCCCUGGCAAGAGACUGACGCUCAGAUGCGAAAGCGUGGGGAGCAAACAGGAUUAGAUACCCUGGUAGUCCACGCCGUAAACGAUGUCUAUUGGGUCUGUGCCCUUGAGGCGUGGGUUCCAAAGCUAACGCAUUAAAUAGACCGCCUGGG
rnacentral:rRNA from 1 species